rnacentral:rRNA from 1 species
CCCGCUGAACUUAAGCAUAUCAAUAAGCGGAGGAAAAGAAACUAACAAGGAUUCCCCUAGUAACUGCGAGUGAAGCGGGAAAAGCUCAAAUUUGAAAUCUGGCGGUUCUUGACCGUCCGAGUUGUAAUCUAGAGAAGUGUUACCUGUGCUGGACCGUGUAAAAGUCUUCUGGAAUGGAGCAUCAUAGAGGGUGAGAAUCCCGUCUUUGACACGGACUACCUGUACAUUAUGGUGCGCUCUCAAAGAGUCGAGUUGUUUGGGAAUGCAGCUCAAAAUGGGUGGUAAAUGCCAUCUAAAGCUAAAUAUUGGCGAGAGACCGAUAGCGAACAAGUACCGUGAGGGAAAGAUGAAAAGCACUUUGGAAAGAGAGUGAAACAGUACGUGAAAUUGUUGAAAGGGAAACGCUUGAAGUCAGUCGCGUCGUCCGAGACUCAGCCUCGCCUCGGCUUGGUGUACUUCUCGGACGACGGGUCAGCAUCAAUUUUGCCCCUUGGAUAAUGGCGAGGGAAAUGUGACACCUUUGCGGGUGUGUUAUAGUCUCUAGUCGCAUGCAAGGGUCGGGAUUGAGGAACUCAGCACGCGCCUUCGGGCGUCGGGGUUCGCCCACGAUACGUGCUUAGGAUGUUGGCGUAAUGGCUUUAAACGACCCGUCUUGAAACACGG